rnacentral:misc_RNA from 1 species
UUUCGCGAAUAGAUUUGUAGACACACAAGGGGGUCCAAAGAGGAAACCACCCCUUCCCCACCCUCAUGAAAGAAUGAAAAAGAAAAAAAAAAAAAGAAAAACUUACAAAUUUUCCAGCAGAACAGUCAAAUGGAGGAGAAUUUUGAUUUACAAGUGUUAUAUUCUGUGUUUCAUUCCAAAGGAAAAUAGGCAAAUGCUACUUCUGGGGUAUCCUCGCUGUGGUUACAUGAGGUGUCACUACAAAAUGAGUGGUCUUCUCUGUAAUCGCAAAGAAAUUCACUGCUUUCACUUCUUUGUUACGUAUAAGCCAUAUAGCGCUAAGUUUGUAUUUGUUACUGAAUAUACACAGGCUAUGACGGGUAGGAAGUCACUUAGAUUGUGACACGGUAGAAUUGUGACAGAACGCCGCCAGAAAUUUGCGGGUUUUGCUUAGAAGCUCUAAAAGUUUUGCAUACAGUCUGUCAUAAUAGUUGGCUUGGCGUUGAUCAGUCUACAGUGUGAUGCUAAUUUGUGGUGGAUAUAUGACGCACGUAUUCAUGAUAUGACCCACGUAUUUCCGGAUUGAAACACUAGAGAAACAUCUUGUUUGCAAUAUUUGUCUCCUUGGCAUAAAGUGAAGCAGUUUGAGUCAAGCUACAAAAAUACACGUAUCUGUUGGGAAUACAAGGGCAUAACACGAUUAGCUGUCCUCAGAAAUUUGAACCCAAUGUAUAUCGUGGUUCUUUCGCUGGUUUAAAAACUUAAAAUUUUACAAAUUAUGUAUGAAUUCAUUAGCCAGUAGUUUUACAGAUUUUGAAGUUCAAUUUCUCGUUGAAAAUUACACCCAAAGGGUAAAAAAACCUUCAUUUAAUCGUAAAUUUCACAAGUGCUUUAAUUUGGAGUCAAUUUGCAUCUAGCGUGAUGCCUUCUCUCCGGAAAGUCUUAUGUUAAUGAACACAAAUAUAAACAAUGACAUCAGCAAAAUAUAUAAACAUGGCGGACAAUUUAGCGAAAGUGACUAAGCUAAGGAAUCUUGCCAUCGCACAUCUCAUUGUCGGCUUCCUGCUCUUCUGUUUCGGUAUCGCAGAGCAGGUUGUGGUCGAUUUUUGGACGAGUGUUGCUUAUUUCGGGAUUUGGGCUGGUAUAUUGCAGAAAGCAGAGUUGGUUUUGAUCGAAGAGAACAGGGUACACAAAGCGCAGCGAAACUGCCGCUUUCUGUUCGUACGAAAAGUCGUACACAUUUUGCGAAGACAGGUCUGCAAGGUUUUUUUGAAAAAUGCUUCAAAAUACUUUAAAUAAACAACUUAUCCGCUACAGCCCACAAUAAGCUGCCUCGACACUCGAAAGUCCGCAAACUUGCACGGCACUGGAAAGAAACCACAUGGACGAACAUGGAGAUGACGUCAUUCGCCCCUGAAGAAUUUUUUGGGAGGCCAAAUUCGUGUUCAUAGGAGGAUAAAAAAAAGCACCUCGAUUUUCAACCUAUAACUCAAUUAGAACUGUUUCACAGCGGUCAGUGUAAUACACAACUGCAGACUGCAUAUCGGGGGUAAAAUGCUGACUGAGGUUAAAAUGCAGACUGCAUAGCAAGGGUAAAAUUCAGACUACAGACUUAUUACACCCGCUUUCAGUGCUACGUGCUUAGGCGACAUCUUUUGAAAUGCUAUCUAACUUGGCCUACGUCAAAAAUGUACUCACGACGGGCUUCUUUACUGUCGAACUCGACUUUUAUUCGUGAAAGACGGUUUGACAUAAGUAAGGCUAGGGGUAUGAAGAAGUCAUUCUGUGAGAGAUCAAUAGACUGUUUUGGAUGUAAACAGUAUGUGUACAUCUUUCGAAUAUUGAAAGCGGUAGCGGCCUAGUUCUACCGGAAAUGCAUUAUCGAGAGCCGAUCGAUUACUCUCAAAUCGUUUGAUUUAUCCCGUAAUCGGAAAACAUGCAAACUCCACAAUCUUCCUCAGCCAUUUGAGGUCAGUAAUUAUCAUUUAUUUGUCAUUUCUUCCGCUAAUAACGAGAAAAAUCGACAGUUUUACAGUUAAUCGCUCUUUCAGCUGUUUACAUAGCAUGUCGAGAGAUGGCAUGUCGAAUGAUGGUCGAAAGAUGUCGCCUAUGCACGUAACACUGACAGCGGGUGUAAGCAUAUAUCAUGUUUUUUCAAUUACCGAGUGAUAACGGUAAACAAGGUUAUUCAGGCUAAUCGUUAUGAAAGUCCGCACUCCGGUUAGCCUGAAUGUCGUUUAGGUUAGCCUGAAUAACGCCCCGGCUAGGCUGUUUACUGUUAGCUCUCAAUGAUGCAAAUGGUGAGACGAUUCAGUUAAAAAGUUUAUAGUCCGCUGUGUGCAUUUUACCUUCAGUCUGCAUUUUACCCCAGAUCCGCAGUCUGUAGUCUGUCGUUCGCAGUCUGCGUUUUACAAAUGACCGGUUUUACAGCUGGUCAGUGCAAAACGCAAACUGCGGACUGCAGAAUGGAAACCGGAGAUAAAAUGGAGACUGAAGAUGUUGAUGACAGGUUGUCUGGGAAUCGCUGGCACUCCCAGAGAAUUCGAACCAAGUAAAAAAUUGGUUUGUUGGUUCAAGAGCUGCUCUAUCAUUAAUGUGUCAGUUGGUUGCAUUCUUAUCAUGCUCUACAGCAUGGCCGUUGCAUUGUUAAAGAACAGAAACGAUCAUUAUGAUGCAGAAAUGGCUAUGCUUACAAUGAUUUUGAUUCUCGGAGUUAUUGAGGCUGUCAUUGCGGUAACCGUUAUGGGGAUAAGUUGCUCUAGCGAUCCACCACAACAGGUAAAAAGAAGCGUAUUUAUAAAUCUACUUUCAAAACACCAUGUUAUAAGUUAUGCCACCCAAGAGAAUGUAUAUUUUCAUCUAUUCGUCUAUUUGCAUCAUAUAUUUCUUGCCUAAGUAGUUUUUCUAUCUUUAUUUACUUAGAGGCAAUUUAACGUACACUGUGAACUCAGGUUACCUCAUGACUUCGUGUGGCCUCUCCGUUGCAGUUGAGCGGAGGGCCACAAGAAGGCUAACUUCAAACGGUCCUUGUAUCUGUUUCGCCAUGGAUGAUAAUCCGAAAUUUUAAGACACGUACAGUUUGGCUUUCUUUUGGAAAAAGCGAUGACAGUUAAGAGUCCGAGAGAGCGACCACCGGUAAAAGCACUGAAACAGACGCUAAACCUAAAAGCAGAGCUCCUCGGCCGGGUUGUAGCCCGAUUAAGCUAACCCUGGAUAAGCGAUAAUUUUGAUUUGAGUUUUGUAAUUCUGGGGAUAGGUUUCUAUGUACUGUUUGGCCCGUUCUGAGUUUGAACAAUCUCAAAAUACACAAAACAAAAGCACUGAAAAAUAUUUGUAUGCAAGACAAAUUUAUACUUGGGUUAGCUAGCGUUAACCAGGCUUCCGAACAACACGGCCCUGUUUACAACAAGUUAACCUGACGAAAACGAGCUCUUGGA